CCCUGAGGCAGACCCUGGGAUUAGCAGAAGAAAACCUUCUCCCAUGUUUGCCCAUACAAUCCCUCACAAGACCUGAGAUGAAAGGCAAUGGAUGGUACCAUCGUGACCUGUCACAGACACAUGCAUGUUACAUAUUUGUGAUUAUUACCUAUCAAACCCUCUCACCACCUCCUCACACCACAGAAAUCAAUCAGCCCUUUUGGGGAAGAGGAUGUGAAGAAAAGUCUCCCUCUAGAAUAACAACCUGGCCUCGUGGAAAAUGGCCUACAUUGGAGGACACCGAGUUAGUGUCGGAUUUCUACCAUCCCUGCCUUGGAUUAAAUGAAGAAACAGAAAUACCAGCAAAUGAAGUGACUUCAAGCCCCAGAACCUUAGAGCCAAAAGAGCCCUUCCAAAUCGUGGAUUCCAGGUUCCUCAUUUUACAGGUGAGAAGACACUUCACAGAUUAAAUGGCACAUUCAAGGUCGCCAGGCUGAUAGUGAUGUAGAUGGAAACCUCCCUGUCAGACCACUGGGCAAGCGUUCUUUCCGUUAUCACGCCACAGUGCAGAGAUAAGAUGAGACCUGGGCUCGCUAACUCACCUCAAGCCAUCAACCAGCAUUCACGGAGCAUCUCCUAGUGUGUGCACUGAACCCUCGGCACUGGCUUCUCCAUCCACCUUUGUCCAAGGGACCAAAGGGUUGAACUGCAAUUCAGCUUGAAUUUAAAAAUCUAGAUAUAAUUAGAAUUAUUUUGCUUUCCAAUGUUGCACCAGUCUAGUCUUAGCUCCUUUUCUCCUUUGGGUAAAAUCUUUUUUUUUUUUUUUAAUUUUUAAGGGUAAAGAACUUAAGAUAUGCAUACGUAGUGAUAUAUGUACAAAUAUACACAUACAAAAUAGUGUGGAAAUAUUGCUUUGUUUUUUGCUUGUUUGUUUGUUUGGAGAAAGGGUAUCACUCAGGCUAGCCUCAAACUUGCAGCAGUCCUACUUCCGCUCCUGAGUGCUGGGAAUUGUAGGUAUGAGUCACCCUGGCCAGCUGAACUUAGAAUCUUAUUAGAGUUAGCUAUCUUGGUUGUAACUUUGUAUAUAAGAGGCACGUAUCUAACUAUUCAUCUUAUUAAGAAGUCCCCAUCUAAAUUCAUCUAAAGAUGUGUCUUACAUUAGGUCUCCUUUUGUUUUGCCAAGGACAAUAUUGCACUUGAGUUGAGCCAGUAGUGAUGAAACUGGUCCUCUGGUUAGUUCUAUGGAACUUUAGUGAGUAUAUUUGAUCUGUUUGAGGACAGCUGUGUGGGGGGAGGCAAGGAGCAACAUUUGCAGAGGUGUUCUCAUGUUUAUGCCUCAGAACACCUUAGUCACAGUCUCUGUGACAACACUUUAUGGAUGAAUAAAGACAUCUAGACUCCAGGGAUUAAGUACUCU
rnacentral:lncRNA from 1 species